GCCCGUAUAGAGUAAGAGCAACUCGUUGGACUCCUAUUCUCUCUGCGUAGGUGAUAGCCAAGGAUCCUGGUGCAAAUCCGGGUGCGGGCA
rnacentral:tRNA from 1 species